GAGACUUUAUUUUCAGGGAUCAUUUCUAUAGUUUGUUACUAGAGACGUUUCUCUAAUCAUGUAGAGCAAGGGAAACCACGAGGAGGAGGGCGUGCCUCAAAGUGUCCUUUGUUGCUGCUGCCAUUUGCCAUCCAUGGUCAAUCUCUUCUUCGUGGAGAGAAAGAGCCGGAGGACACAGUCUGAGUGGG
ensembl:snoRNA U3 Small nucleolar RNA U3